rnacentral:rRNA from 1 species
AUUGAACGCUGGCGGCAGGCUUAACACAUGCAAGUCGAGCGGGGUGAUGGUGCUUGCACUAUCACUUAGCGGCGGACGGGUGAGUAAUGCUUAGGAAUCUGCCUAUUAGUGGGGGACAACAUCUCGAAAGGGAUGCUAAUACCGCAUACGUCCUACGGGAGAAAGCAGGGGAUCACUUGUGACCUUGCGCUAAUAGAUGAGCCUAAGUCUGAUUAGCUAGUUGGUGGGGUAAAGGCCUACCAAGGCGACGAUCAGUAGCUGGUCUGAGAGGACGAUCAGCCACACUGGGACUGAGACACGGCCCAGACUCCUACGGGAGGCAGCAGUGGGGAAUAUUGGACAAUGGGGGGAACCCUGAUCCAGCCAUGCCGCGUGUGUGAAGAAGGCCUUAUGGUUGUAAAGCACUUUAAGCGAGGAGGAGGCUCUUUUGGUUAAUACCCAAGAUGAGUGGACGUUACUCGCAGAAUAAGCACCGGCUAACUCUGUGCCAGCCGCCGCGGUAA